rnacentral:rRNA from 1 species
UACGUAGGGGGCAAGCGUUGUCCGGAAUCAUUGGGCGUAAAGCGCGUGUAGGCGGCUGAGUAAGUCCGCUCUGAAAGCCCGGGGCUCAACCCCGGGAGGCGGGUGGAUACUGCUCAGCUCGAGUCCGGAAGAGGAGUGUGGAAUUCCUGGGUGUAGCGGUGAAAUGCGCAGAUAUCAGGAGGAACACCAAUGGCGAAGGCAGCACUCUGGGACGGUACUGACGCUGAGACGCGAAAGCGUGGGGAGCAAACAGG